rnacentral:rRNA from 1 species
GACGAACGCUGGCGGCGUGCCUAACACAUGCAAGUCGAGCGGAGUCGAUCGACGGAAGCCUUCGGGCGGAAGAUGGUUGACUUAGCGGCGGAUGGGUGAGUAACGCGUGGGCAACCUGCCUCGAAGACCGGGAUAACAGCCCGAAAGGGCUGCUAAUACCGGAUGUGGUCAAGGAUCCGCAUGGAUUUUUGAUUAAAGGGGAAACCCGUUUCGAGAUGGGCCCGCGUCCUAUCAGCUAGUUGGUGAGGUAAAAGCUCACCAAGGCGACGACGGGUAGCCGGCCUGAGAGGGUGACCGGCCACACUGGAACUGAGACACGGUCCAGACUCCUACGGGGGGCAGCAGUGGGGAAUCUUCCACAAUGGGCGAAAGCCUGAUGGAGCGACGCCGCGUGAGCGAAGAAGGCCUUCGGGUUGUAAAGCUCUGUCUGAGGGACGAAGGAAGUGACGGUACCUCCGGAGGAAGCCACGGCUAACUACGUG